rnacentral:tRNA from 1 species
AAGAGAUCCACGCCAAAGAAAAAGCUUCUAACUUGACUCUUAAGCGGUUAAACCCCGUUUGUUUCUCU